GCAGUGGUGGUUCAGUGGUAGAAUUCUUGCCUCCCACGCAGGAAACCCAGUUUGACUCCCCGCCAAUGCA
rnacentral:tRNA from 1 species